rnacentral:rRNA from 1 species
UGUUGUAGAAUCACUGGUGAAUAAGGGGUGGGCAAGUUCUGGUGUCAGCCGCCGCGGUAAAACCAGCACCUCGAGUGGUCAGGAGGUUUAUUGGGCCUAAAGCAUCCGUAGCCGGUUGCAUAAGUUUUCGGUUAAAUCUAUGCGCUUAACGUAUAGGCCGCCGAAAAUACUGUGCAGCUAGGGAGUGGGAGAGGUACACGGUACUCGAUAGGAAGGGGUAAAAUCCUUUGAUCUAUUGAUGACCACCUGUGGCGAAGGCGGUGUACCAGAACACGUUCGACGGUGAGGGAUGAAAGCUGGGGGAGCAAACCGGAUUAGAUACCCGGGUAGUCCCAGCUGUAAACGAUGCAGACUCGGUGAUGCAUUGGCUUGUGGCCAAUGCAGUGCCGCAGGGAAGCCGUUAAGUCUGCCGCCUGGGAAGUACGUACGCAAGUAUGAAACUUAAAGGAAUUGGCGGGGGAGCACCACAAGGGGUGAAGCCUGCGGUUCAAUUGGAGUCAACGCCAGAAAUCUUACCUGGGGAGACAGCAGAAUGAAGGUCAAGCUGAAGACUUUACCAGACACGCUGAGAGGUGGUGCAUGGCCGUCGCCAGCUCGUGCCGUGAGAUGUCCUGUUAAGUCAGGUAACGAGCGAGACCCCUGCGUCUAGUUGCUACCAUUACUCUCUGGAGCAGUGGAGCGAAUUAGACGGACCGCCACAGUUAAUGUGGAGGAAGGAAGGGGCCACGGCAGGUCAGUAUGCCCCGAAACCCUAGGGCUACACGCGGGCUGCAAUGGUAUUGACAAUGUGUUCCGAAUCCGAAAGGAGGAGGCAAUCAUCAAACAAUAUCUCAGUUAUGACUGAGGCU